rnacentral:rRNA from 1 species
UACGGAGGGUGCAAGCGUUAUCCGGAUUUACUGGGUUUAAAGGGUGUGUAGGCGGGCUAUUAAGUCAGUGGUGAAAUCUCCGGGCUCAACCCGGAAACUGCCAUUGAUACUAUUAGUCUUGAAUUUUGUUGAGGUAGGCGGAAUAAGUCAUGUAGCGGUGAAAUGCAUAGAUAUGACUUAGAACACCAAUUGCGAAGGCAGCUUACUAAGCAAAUAUUGACGCUGAGGCACGAAAACGUGGGGAUCAAACAGG